UUAAAUUGAAGAGUUUGAUCAUGGCUCAGAUUGAACGCUGGCGGCAGGCCUAACACAUGCAAGUCGAACGGUAACAGGAAGCAGCUUGCUGUUUUGCUGACGAGUGGCGGACGGGUGAGUAAUGUCUGGGAAACUGCCUGAUGGAGGGGG
rnacentral:rRNA from 1 species